CCUCCCGGAAAUGGGCCAAGAGACACCUUGUUGCUGCUGGCGUUGUUCUUGUAUCAGUCAGGGACAGAGCAGGUGGCAGUCCUUUGUUCAUCCUAGCUUGAGGCCUGUCCUGGUGUCCAAAGCUGUCUGAUGCCUAGGACACAGAA